GUGUCAGCAGCCGCGGUAAUACGGAGGGGGCUAGCGUUGUUCGGAAUUACUGGGCGUAAAGCGCGCGUAGGCGGAUUGUUAAGUCGGGGGUGAAAUCCCGGGGCUCAACCCCGGAACUGCCUCCGAUACUGGCAGUCUAGAGGUCGAGAGAGGUGAGUGGAAUGGCGAGUGUAGAGGUGAAAUUCGUAGAUAUUCGCCGGAACACCAGUGGCGAAGGCGGCUCACUGGCUCGAUACUGACGCGGAGGUGCGAAGGCGUGGGGAGCAAACAGGAUUAGAUACCCUGGUAGUCCACGCCGUAAACGAUGAGUGCUAGACGUCGGGCAGCAUGCUGUUCGGUGUCGCAGCUAACGCAUUAAGCACUCCGCCUGGGGAGUACGGCCGCAAGGUUAAAACUUAAAUGAAUUGGCGGGG
rnacentral:rRNA from 1 species